CAAACCUACUUAAAGUGAAAACUACAGUAGAGAAGCAGUCUUUUACUGUCUGAAUUGGAAGGACAUUGAUCUCAGGUCACAAUACAGCUGCCAACUUUCAGACAAACAAAUCAGGAAACAGGAAAAACUCACUUCCACUCACUUCAUUCCAGAACAUUCCACACUGAAUAUCAAAACGGCUGACAUUACCGAGUGUAAAGUUACCCUUCCAGAUUUAUUUUGCAUGCGGCUGGCAUGCAGGCAGCGUCACCGGUGUGAAAUUGAAUUCUCUGCAUGUGGCCUUCUCCAGAUGACUGCAAGCGGUUACAUGACGUAGACGUGGUUUCUGUCUAGUUGCAUUUGAGUUCUGAGCAAUAUUUUACAUAAUGAUCCCAGAAUGAAAACACACUAUUGUUGAAGCCAACAAUAAUCACAUUUGAAAUGCGUCAGCUUAAAGAAAGACGAAGAAGAGCAGAUUUAUUCUGCCCUAUUACCCUGCUGUUAUGCCAGCAGUGCAGAAGUGCCAAGUUAUUCUUCCCCAACUGAAAAAGAAACAUGGAUGAUCUGCCAAACACACAACGGGUCACAUCUGGCUAUCCGUUUGGUGCCUGUUAGUGGAGGAGCCUUAAAGAGGACCUAAACUUCUCUUUGUGUACUCAGCCUUGCAGUAUUUUUUGUCCGUUUUAGCUCGUACGAUCUUUAUUACGGUCGUUGCUGUUGUUUAUUUUUUUAUUUUUGACACAUUUGGGACUGUUCUUGUGGUUGUGUUUGUGUAUACGUAUUUGUUAGCCCUCUGCUUGCCUUGCAUUGUAGGCUACGGCUUUCUAGCAUGACACGACCGCUUAGCUGCUCUGCUGUCUCUUGGCUUGUAGUCUUACUAUUACAAUCUUUGUUGUCAAAAGUAUUAUACCAUUACUUUAUAUUGUUACUGCUAGUAUUACAGUUCGAUAGUGCCAGAUGCAUAGCUACGCCUGAAUAUAUUUUCUCAACUUUGAUUCUUGAACGAUUUUGCAUUGGUCCUGUUGUUGGCCAAAAAUAAAAGCAUACCACAGUUUACAAAAGUAAAUUGCCUUUAGCAACUGCUAAGAGCUUAAACUUUUGGUGCAAAGAAGCUUUCCUAUCCACUAGUGUGUUUUUCUUGGUUAGGGUUGGUCAAAUUAAACAACACGGACCAAAAUCGGCACUGCCAUAUCUCCAGAUAUGAAGCUUGGAAAAACAAGGUGCUGUUCAAUGAUGGUAUCAGAUCUCCAUGGUUCUUUGAAAUGUAUACCAUUGUAUUUUUAUGGUAUUUUAUGGUACAUGUCCAAAACCAUGGUAAUACAUGAUACUUUUUUUUGUUAGUGGUGCUAAGAUGGGACAGAGAAAUUAAAUAUGGACAAAAUGUUCCAUAUAUUUCCAUAUUUGGACCAGGAUCUGUAUUUAAACACUAAUAUCUUGGACUGUUGCCAUGAUUUUUUUGGAAAAAAAAGGCUUAAAGUUGACAAUGGAUAGUUACUAUAAUUUAGAUGCCAAAAACUGGAGCUAGGGAAUGAAGGAAGUAUUGGAUGCCUAUGGUUGAGUGACUCAUUGUAGAUGACUCACUGUCCUGUUAUUUUCCAAUUCAUCCGGUGUCAUGUUUGUAUGUAUGUGUGUAUUUUUGGACGAUGUACCAGUAACCACAUUUGUACCUCUCUUUGGCCUCAGCUUUGACAUGCAAACUAGAACCUGUUAAACAUGAUUUUAUUGGAUAGGAUCCGAGUGACUCCUUACACCUAGUAAUGUGACUGAGAUGCAUUUAUUUUGGAGGGAGUUUGAUAUACUAUAUUAGUGAAUGUAUCGUAUUGCAAGUCUUUUGUAAAGUGCUUUUGAAAUUAUAUUUUCGUACUGUAUGUUUUUGUGGAAAAUGUUUUGUGGAACAGAGGCAAUUUGUAUGUGAGACGACAUAUAAUGUGUGUGUGUUUGUGUGAGCGAACGAGAGACUCUUUUGAGACGUCUUUAUCCUCAAGCUGCAAUGUAAACUUUAGGACAAUGGUACAAAAAUAAAGAAAAGCAAACAAGUGUGCUGCCUGUUUCUGUGUUUUAUUGUUCAUAGAGUGUUGAUGUAAUGAUUGUUCUGUUGUGUAAUGAUUUGCUGAUACAAGGACAAAUGUUCAGUUUAAUGAACUUGAGCUGUAGCAUUCUUUAUUAAUAAACACACACUUGAUACACACAACCACAGAGCAACCCCAAGUUAAACUUCCUGGCACACUUACACAGUGGGAAGCAUCAGCUGUGUUGGAUAAAUGGAUUUCAAGCAGGAAUGUGUGAUGGAUAUAAUGCUGAAACUAAAUGUUUUAAGUUGUUCGAUGCAAGAUGUUUGAACCAAUGAUGCACUGAAAAGUUGCACAGCCAUUGAUUUAGCACACUGGCUCUGGAUUGAGUUACUUGGUCAUUUUAGCUGAGCUUCAAGAAAUAGUUCACUUAAAAACAAAUGUUUUGUCAUCAUCACACAGAAUAACAUUUUUUUUAAUAAUUGGAUUAUUUAAAGGAGCUACUAGUAGAAUAAAUGGAGACUGGAGCUUUCAAGCUUCAUAAAUGAAUUGGUUGAGCCACUAAACAAUUCAUUCACAAAUUAAACUGAUUCAGUAUGGAAUCUUGUUUCCGCCACGGGAUAAAAAAAAAAAUCAAUUGUAACUUAUUUUCUCACAAUUAUUUUUCUUCUCAGAAUCGUGAGUUCAAAACUGUGGCAGAAGCAGGCUUCCAUAAUUCAGUUCAUUGGCUCAACUUAAAAAGAUUUUAUGAUAUUUUUUUAUGGAGCUUUUACAUCUUUUCUGAAACUUAAAAAGCUCCAGUCCACAUUUAUUGUAAUUGCAUUUGAAGCACAACCAGCAAUUAGUUUCACAGAAGAAUGUUAUAUGGUUUUAGAACAAAAUGAGGGUGAUAAAACGGUGACAGAACUUCCAUUUUUAGGUGAACUAUCCCUUUAAAUUAGUCUUUUAGUGACUGUUUUUUACACAUAAAGCAUUCAAUGUCUCUGAGGUAACGAUUUUAGAGUAAUUUUAGUGAUUUGGCUUUAUUAAUUUUGGCCAUCUCCUUUUGGCUAAAUAAACAUACAUCAUUGCAUCAUUGGUCCUUUAAAAUGAAGUCUACAUUUUCAUAAACAACAACCUAGAGCUACCUGCUCUCAUUUUAAAGCGCAAUCAGUUUUACAGUAGUGCACAACAUUUUAAACUAAAAAGUGCUUUUUAUUAGAUUUUUUUUACAUAUCUAUUACACCCGAAGACCAUUAUUAUAGUAUUAUGUCCCUUAGAAGCUUAAAUAUUUGAAUUAAUGCUUGUCUAUGUGCAAAUAAAAUAUUCCGAUAGUCCUCCUGGCAUGAGUUGUGCAGCGGUUACGACAAAGUGACAACAUCAGCGCGUUU